GAACUGCUAAUUAAUAAAAUCAGGUGUGCCAAAUUAGGAAUGAAAUGAAAACCUACAGGACAGUAGGUCUCCAGGAUCAGGGCUGGGAACCACUGACCUGAAGAACCAUAUAGCAUUUCCAUCGUGUCAGCAUCUAUUCUGCAGGAUAUAGAACGAGCGUGCAUGCAGGGCUCUCCUCCAAAGCAUGUGAUGUCACUCGAUGCUUAUCAUACAGCAAUUCCGGAAACCUGGGUCGGAAGAAGACGUUUCAUGCGCUGCUCAGCAGGCGACCUUGCAGGUGCAAGGUAGACCAGCAGGGUCGCAAUGAUGGUGACCCAAACCUCCUACCCCAGCAGGGCUGCCAAACACAGCUGGCGUUGGGACGGUCAGGAUUCGAUAUCAGACCAUGGGGCUCAUCCACAUACUAGAACAGUGCCUUAAAGAGAUGCAGUAGUUCACUUCUUGGAGUUUUAAAAUAUUAUUUCAGUUUUGAUUGGCCCAAACAGUUUUUGUGUGUGAUGAAAGAUGUUACAUACUUGCAGAAGCGUCUGAUGACUAAAGCAAGAAAACACACUUAAAGAAAAUACAAAAACAGUUUGUACAGCAAUGUUAUGUAUGCAGAGGUUUGGCACCAGUUUACUCCUUAGUAUUAUGAAAAAUGAGAAUACACAAUUUAUUAUGUUUAAUUUGAUUUAAUAAAUUUGUCAUUUACAAAUACAGAUAACUCAAAAUAGUAUAAUUAUCAUAAGUUGUACAUGAGUGUAAAUAAAUUACAUGCAUUGACUCAUGCAUAGCUAUU